rnacentral:rRNA from 1 species
ACGGGUGAGUAAUACAUGGGAAUCUACCUUGAAGUCUGGGAUAACUGUUGGAAACGACAGCUAAUACCGGAUAUUGCCGAGAGGUGAAAGUUUUUCGCUUCGAGAUGAGCCCAUGCAAGAUUAGCUAGUUGGUAGGGUAAUGGCCUACCAAGGCGAAGAUCUUUAGCUGGUCUAAGAGGAUGAUCAGCCACACCGGAACUGAGACACGGUCCAGACUCCUACGGGAGGCAGCAGUGGGGAAUAUUGGACAAUGGGCGAAAGCCUGAUCCAGCGACGCCGCGUGAGUGAUGAAGGCCUUCGGGUUGUAAAGCUCUUUCAGUAGGGAAGAUAAUGACGGUACCUACAGAAGAAGCUCCGGCUAACUUCGUGCCAGCAGCCGCGGUAAUACGAAGGGAGCUAGCGUUACUCGGAAUCAUUGGGCGUAAAGCGUGCGUAGGCGGCUUUAUAAGUCGGAAGUGAAAGCCUGGAGCUCAACUCCAGAAUUGCUUUCGAUACUGUAGAGCUAGAAUACCAGAGGGGAUGGCGGAAUUCCUAGUGUAGAGGUGAAAUUCGUAGA